rnacentral:tRNA from 1 species
GACUCCGUGGCGCAACGGUAGCGCGUCCGACUCCAGACACGAAAGGUUGCGUGUUCAAAUCACGUCGGGGUCA